AUGCAUGUCUAAGUACAAGCCUGAAUAAGGUGAAACCGCGAAUGGCUCAUUAAAUCACACCUAAUGUACCGGAUAGUUCCAAUUACUUGGAUAACUGCGGUAAUUCUGGAGCUAAUACAUGCUUAAAGGCCUCGACUCAAGGAGGGGCGCAUUUAUUAGAUCAAAACCAAACCGCUUGCGGUUUUAUUGGUGAAUCUGAAUAACUCUAUGCUGAUCGUAUGGCUCAACGCCGACGACGUAUCCGUCCAAGGUGUGCCCUAUCAACUGUCGACUGUGGCAUAGACGCCCACAGUGGUUUUGACGGGUAACGGGGAAUUAGGGUUCGAUUCCGGAGAGGGAGCCUGAGAAACGGCUACCACUUCUAAGGAAGGCAGCAGGCACGCAAAUUACCCAAUGGUCGAAGACCGAGGUAGUGACGAAAAAUAACGAUACCGGUCUCUUCCGAGGCCCGGUAAUCGGAAUGAGUACACUUUAAAUCCUUUAACGAGGAACAAUUGGAGGGCAAGUCUGGUGCCAGCAGCCGCGGUAAUUCCAGCUCCAAUAGCGUAUAUUAAAGUUGUUGCGGUUAAAAAGCUCGUAGUUGGAUCUCGGCGAACAGGGGGCGGUUCGUUAUUUGACGGUACUGCCCCAUUUGUUCGUAUUUUUGCAAGAGGGUUGGGGGUCCCCUUCAUUGGGUGUCUCCGGUCGCUUGCAGGUUUACUUUGAAAAAAUUAGAGUGCUCAAAGCAGGCUUACACGCUUGAAUAUUCGUGCAUGGAAUAAUAGAAUAGGAAGUCGUUUCUA
rnacentral:rRNA from 1 species